rnacentral:rRNA from 1 species
AGCCGUUCGAGACUAGGACGUUGAUAGGUUGGAUGUGGAAGCAUAGUGAUAUGUGAAGCUGACCAAUACUAAUUGCUCGUGAGGCUUGACUAU